ACCCAACAGCUAGCCUUACACCAUGAAUAAAACAAACCCUGUUAAUAACCCCAAAAACACCGACUAUUAAACAACAAACCAUUUUUCCCCCCAAGUAUGGGCGACAGAAAAGGAUACCACAUGCGCCAUAAAAAAGUACCGCAAGGGAACGCUGAAAAAGAAAUGAAAUAAACCAGUAAAGUUAAAAAAAGCAGAGACUUACACUCGUACCUUUUGCAUCAUGACUUAGCUAGUAAAGACCAAGCAAAAGGCACUUUAGUUUGACUUCCCGAAACUAAGUGAGCUACUCCAAGACAGCCUAAAAGCAGGGCUAACCCGUCUCUGUGGCAAAAGAGUGGGGCGAUCUUAGAGUAGAGGUGACAAACCUAUCGAACUUAGUCAUAGCUGGUUGCCUAAGAAAUGAAUAGGAGUUCAGCUUUUUGAUUUCUCACCUCAAAUUUAUUUUAUAUUUGUUUGACGCAGAUAAGUACCAAAAAAGUUAAUUAAAGGGGGUACAGCUCCUUUAAAACAAGACACAACUUCCUCAGCCGGGUAAGGAUCAUAAUUAUUAAGGUAGAAAUGCUUUAGUGGGCCUGAAAGCAGCCACCUAUAAGAAAGCGUUAAAGCUCAUUCAUAGCCCCUCCCCCCGUCAAUUUAGAUAACAAAUCCUAGCCCGCUAAUUUUAUUAGGCCGCCCCAUGCCUACAUGGGGGCGAUCCUGCUAAUAUGAGUAAUAAGAAAAAUUCAAAAUUUUCUCCUUGCACGCGUGUAAAUCGAAACGGACCCCCCACCGAAACUUAAUCGGCCCCAAAAAGAGGGUAAUGAACUACCAACCCUAAUAACAAGAAAAACACCCAAAAAUUAACCGUUAACCCCACACUGGUGUGCCUACAAGGAAAGACUAAAAGAAAAAGAAGGAACUCGGCAAAUAAAAGCCUCGCCUGUUUACCAAAAACACCGCCUCUUGUAUACAAAAAAUAAGAGGUCACGCCUGCCCUGUGACAAAAGUUUAACGGCCGCGGUAUUUUGACCGUGCAAAGGUAGCGCAAUCACUUGUCCUUUAAAUGAAGACCUGUAUGAAUGGCAUCACGAGGGCUUAACUGUCUCCUUUUUCCAGUCAAUGAAAUUGAUCUCCCCGUGCAGAAGCGGGGAUAAAACCAUAAGACGAGAAGACCCUAUGAAGCUUUAGACGCAAGACAGAUCUUGUUAAACACUUCAAAAUAAAGAAAUAAACUUAAAGAACCCUGCUCCGAUGUCUUUGGUUGGGGCGACCACGGGGAAACAAAAAACCCCCAUGCGGACUGAGAAAACAAUUCUCACAACCAAGAGCCACAGCUCUAGUUAACAGAAUUUCUGACCUUUAGAUCCGGCAAUGCCGAUCAACGGACCGAGUUACUCUAGGGAUAACAGCGCAAUCCCCUCUUAGAGCUCCUAUCGACGAGGGGGUUUACGACCUCGAUGUUGGAUCAGGACAUCCUAAUGGUGCAGCAGCUAUUAAAGGUUCGUUUGUUCAACGAUUAAAGUCCUACGUGAUCUGAGUUCAGACCGGAGUAAUCCAGGUCAGUUUCUAUCUAUGCUAUGAUCUUUUCCAGUACGAAAGGACCGAAAAGAAGAGGCCAAUGCUUAAAGCACGCCUCACCCCCACCUAAUGAGGCCAACUAAAUUAGGCAAAAGGGCAUAUCCCUUUUGCCUAAUAUAACGGCAU
rnacentral:rRNA from 1 species